CCUACGGGAGGCAGCAGUAGGGAAUAUUGCUCAAUGGGGGAAACCCUGAAGCAGCAACGCCGCGUGGAGGAUGAAGGUUUUCGGAUUGUAAACUACUUUUGUUAGAGAAGAUAAUGACGGUAUCUAACGAAUAAGCAACGGCCAACGCCGUGCCAGCAGCCGCGGUAAUACGGAGUGUGCAAGCGCUAAUCGGAAUCACUGGGCGUAAAGAGCGCGUAGGUGGGAUAGCAAGUCAGAUGUGAAAUCCUAGGGCUGAACCAUAGAACUGCAUUUGAAACUGUUAUUCUUGAGUAUGGGAGAGGUAGGUGGAAUUCUUGGUGUAGGGGUAAAAUGCGUAGAGAUCAAGAGGAAUACUGAUGGCGAAGGCGGCCUGCUGGAACAUAACUGACGCUGAGGCGCGAAAGCGUGGGGAGCAAACAGGAUUAGAUACCCCAGUAGUC
rnacentral:rRNA from 1 species